UGCGGAGGGAUCAUUACUGAGUGAGGGCCUUCGGGCUCGACCUCCAACCCUUUGUGAACACAACUUGUUGCUUCGGGGGCGACCCUGCCGUUUCGACGGCGAGCGCCCCCGGAGGCCUUCAAACACUGCAUCUUUGCGUCGGAGUUUAAGUAAAUUAAACAAAACUUUCAACAACGGAUCUCUUGGUUCUGGCAUCGAUGAAGAACGCAGCGAAAUGCGAUAAGUAAUGUGAAUUGCAGAAUUCAGUGAAUCAUCGAAUCUUUGAACGCACAUUGCGCCCCUUGGUAUUCCGAGGGGCAUGCCUGUUCGAGCGUCAUUUCACCACUCAAGCCUCGCUUGGUAUUGGGCGCCGCGGUGUUCCGCGCGCCUCAAAGUCUCCGGCUGAGCUGUCCGUCUCUAAGCGUUGUGAUUUCAUUAAUCGCUUCGGAGCGCGGGCGGUCGCGGCCGUUAAAUCUUUCACAAGGUUGACCUCGGAUCAGGUAGGGAUACCCGCUUAACUUAAGCAUA
rnacentral:rRNA from 1 species